GACGUAGGGCGCGAGCGUUGUCCGGAUUUAUUGGACGUAAAGAGCUCGUAGGCGGCUUGUUGCGUCGGCUGUGAAAUCCCGUGGCUUAACUGCGGGCUUGCAGCUGAUACGGGCGGGCUGGAGUUCGGUAGGGGAGACUGGAAUUCCUGGUGUAGCGGUGAAAUGCGCAGAUAUCAGGAGGAACACCAAUGGCGAAGGCAGCUCACUGGGACGAUACUGACGCUGAGACGCGAAAGCGUGGGGAGCAAACAGGAUUAGAU
rnacentral:rRNA from 1 species